rnacentral:rRNA from 1 species
UACGAAGGUCCCAAGCGUUAUCCGGAUUUAUUGGGUUUAAAGGGUGCGUAGGCGGACUGUUAAGUCAGUGGUGAAAGCUCCAUGCCUAACAUGGAAAAUGGCCAUUGAUACUGAUAGUCUUGAGUACAUUUUGAAGUGGGCGGAAUGUGUCUGUAGCGUGAAAUGCUUAGAUAUGACACAGAACACCGAUUGCGUAGGCAGCUCACUAAACUGUAACUGACGCUGAGGCACGAAAGCAUGGGGAGCA